UGUUGUGUCAGCUGUUUGUUUAAAUAAACAAACAGACAACAUAAAGAACAAAAAGGGACAGAGCGGCCAGAUUGCUAGCGGCGCUGGUAUGCUCGCGUAUUGCGCGGCUAAAGCUCGCCGGAUGGGGUGGUUUAGUUUUAACAAAUUUAGUUGUAGCAAAAUUAGUUUUAAUUUUAAGCAAAUUUUAGUUUUACGUUAAACAAAAUUUAUUUUUAAGUUUUUAGCUUUAAGUUUAAUUUAAGUUUCAAGUUAUUCUACGUCUUUUUUUCUUUCUUUUAUUUAAGUUUUCCCUUUUAUUUUUAGGUCCCUCAACAUCGAUUACUGGGUUGCUGCUGUGAGUAACAGGAUUCUUGAGAGCUGAUUGGUUUUCGGUCCGUCCGUAUUUCAGUCUGUUAGAGUAUUCACGGCUACCUAAAUUCAAACUUAUCACGUUUUUUUAUUUAAUAUUUGGCCUGAGCUCAAACCUAAUCGCGCACGUUUGGCUUAAUCACAAACUGGAUGACGACAAACGAAGUCGACAGGAAAUUAUUUAAAAGUAGUAAUUAGAAGUCCUGUUCGUUUGGUCGUUCGGGUGAAUGGUAAGUACUUAGGUCGAAAACCAGAUACCUGAGCACCACAGGAUUGCUGGUGCUGGUCUGCCAAAAGAGUCCCACGAUGGAUGGAGCUGGCGAUGGCGUGGCUUGUUUGCUGUUGGCUUAGUUUCAACUUUCUGUAUUGUUUAGUUCCAGGUUUAAUUUUCUUUAGUUUUAAGUUCAAUUCUAUUUGGUUUAAAAUUUUAAACUUUAAAUUUUUA